UACGUAGGGUGCAAGCGUUAAUCGGAAUUGACUGGGCGUAAAGCGUGCGCAGGCGGUGAUGUAAGACAGAUGUGAAAUCCCCGGGCUCAACCUGGGAACUGCAUUUGUGACUGCAUCGCUGGAGGUACGGCAGAGGGGGAUGGAAUUCCGCGUGUAGCAGUGAAAUGCGUAGAUAUGCGGAGGAACACCGAUGGCGAAGGCAAUCCCCUGGGCCUGUACUGACGCUCAUGCACGAAAGCGUGGGGAGCAAACAGG
rnacentral:rRNA from 1 species